rnacentral:rRNA from 1 species
UACGAAGGGGGCUAGCGUUGCUCGGAAUUACUGGGCGUAAAGGGCGCGUAGGCGGGUCGUUUAGUUAGAGGUGAAAGCCCAGGGCUCAACCCUGGAAUUGCCUUUAAUACUGGCGGCCUUGAGUAUGGCAGAGGUGUGUGGAACUCCGAGUGUAGAGGUGAAAUUCGUAGAUAUUCGGAAGAACACCAGUGGCGAAGGCGACAGCACUGGGCCAUUACUGGACGCUGAGGCGCGAAAGCGUGGGGAGCAAACAG